AUGGCUGUCGUCAGCUCGUGUCGUGAGAUGUUGGGUUAAGUCCCGCAACGAGCGCAACCCUUGUGGUUAGUUGCCAGCAAGUAGCGUUGGGCACUCUAGCCAGACUGCCGGUGAUAAAAUCGGAGGAAGUGGGGACGACGUCAAAUCAUCAUGCCCUUUAUGUCCUGGGCUACACACGUACUACAAUGGCCGUUACAACGGGAAGCGAAGGAGCAAUCCGGAGCAAAUCCCUUAAAGGCGGUCCCAGUUCAGAUUGUGGGCUGAAACUCGCCCACAUGAAGGCGGAAUUGCUAGUAAUCGCGGAUCAGCACGCCGCGGUGAAUACGUUCCCGGGCCUU
rnacentral:rRNA from 1 species